rnacentral:rRNA from 1 species
CGGACGGGUGAGUAACACGUGGGUAACCUGCCCAUCAGAAGGGGAUAACACUUGGAAACAGGUGCUAAUACCGUAUAACAAUUGGAACCGCAUGGUUCUAAUUUGAAAGACGCUUUCGGGUGUCACUGAUGGAUGGACCCGCGGUGCAUUAGCUAGUUGGUGAGGUAACGGCUCACCAAGGCAACGAUGCAUAGCCGACCUGAGAGGGUGAUCGGCCACACUGGGACUGAGACACGGCCCAG